rnacentral:lncRNA from 1 species
GAGGAGGGAGGUCGGGCACGGCGAGCUGGGGCCCGAGGCGACGGCGGCCUCGCUCGGCAGCGGCAGCGGCGAGGUGCAGCUAGGCGGGGCUCGGGCAUGGGCGGAGUGGGACGGCCGUGGGCGGCGACCGGACGAGAGGGGAAAGAAGAGGGGGGUCGUUGCUCACCCCCAUUGCAGGGGAUCUGGGGUGGCGAGGCUCGCUGGGGAGGAGGAUGGGGACGAGCGGCGGAGACGGGGAGCGGUCCGGCGACGAUGUGGCGUCCGCGAGGUGGUGGCGGGACGAGGCAGCGACGUCGGGGGCGACGGUGACGAAGAGGAGGCAGUCCGUCGAAGGCGGAGGCGCGUCGAGCUCCGGGCGGCGAGGAUCCAGCGACCGGGGCGGCGGGGUGGUUCGGUUCCUGGCGUCGAGCGGCGGGGCGGGGCCGGCAGUGGUGCGGCNNNNNNNNNNNNNNNNNNNNNNNNNNNNNNNNNNNNNNNNNNNNNNNNNNNNNNNNNNNNNNNNNNNNNNNNNNNNNNNNNNNNNNNNNNNNNNNNNNNNNNNNNNNNNNNNNNNNNNNNNNNNNNNNNNNNNNNNNNNNNNNNNNNNNNNNNNNNNNNNNNNNNNNNNNNNNNNNNNNNNNNNNNNNNNNNNNNNNNNNNNNNNNNNNNNNNNNNNNNNNNNNNNNNNNNNNNNNNNNNNNNNNNNNNNNNNNNNNNNNNNNNNNNNNNNNNNNNNNNNNNNNNNNNNNNNNNNNNNNNNNNNNNNNNNNNNNNNNNNNNNNNNNNNNNNGUGCGAGGAGUGGGGAACGUGGGGUGUCGGUGGGGUGGGUAGGGUUUCGGGGUUAAGGGGAAGUGGGGGGGAGUGGCCGGCUGGGCCUGAUGGGUUGGCCCAGUUGGGCCUGUGUUCUGUUGGGCCGGAGCCCAGUGGGGGGGGUUGCUUUCUCCUUUUUUUAGUUUUGUUUUCUGUUUUCUUUUCUUUAUAUAUUUUCUUUUCUAUUUUAUUCUUUGAAUUCCUGUUUUAUAAAAUAUAAAUACAACUCCUAAAUUAAUGUUAUAAUUUAUUCUACUGCCCCAAAAAGUUUGACACCUAAUUAAAAUAGGUUGCAUUAUUAUUAUUUUUAAAAGGCAUUUAAUUAAUUGUCAUAGCUGCUGUUUUAAUUACUUUAGAGCCUUUAAACAUUUUAUAAAAGUGUGGUUUCUCCACAAUAAUUACCUAUGCAUUAUUUGGCAACACCCCAACAUUUUAGUUUUAAUAUUUGAAAAUCUUUACCGUUUGACUUUAUUUUAAGUUUGAAUUUCGAAUCGAUUUUGAACUAACACGAGAUUAACAACCGUAACCGUGGUGACGUGGCAUCAUUAACGUGGGAUUACUGUAGCCUAAUUACCCGGGCAUCACAAGCAGAGUCUAGGGUUCGGGGGGAGGGGUCACGGGGUUGCUUUUAACCAUCAGGGGGGUGCCAGGGAUGGCCGGCAUGUGGAGGGUGCCAUGGGGAUGGCCUCCACGCAGCCUCCAGUUCCUGUAGCGAGAGGUAGGGGACGCUUGGGAGGUUGGGCUGGGCCAGAUUCACAGUGGCCACCAAAGGCCCGGUUGAAAAGUAGUUACCUAGGCCCUUUUCUAUUUUAUUUUCAUUUUACUUUUCUGCUAUGUAUUUUCCUACUGUUUUGUAUUUAUUUGAGCGAGCAAAUGAAUUUUGUUACAAAUGAAACUUGGUAUAUAAAUACAAGGCAUUGAUAUGAGAUAGCACAGCAAGUUUCAAUUUAUUUUGAAAAGUGAAAAUAUUUAUUUAAUUGAAAUUGGAUCAAUUAAAAGUUGUUGGUCCAAUUUUAAAUAGGUUAAGGAUGUUUUAAUAAUUCAAAUAAUAUUGGUUUGUUCAUGGCAAUUUGUUAGUGAAUUCUUGCAACCUAGCGAACAUUUUUGUUUUACUAUUCAAAGAAAUAAUAAUUUGACUUUAUUUUAAAUUAGAAUUUGAAUUCGGCUUGGAUCAAAGUGAGGUUUAGAAAAUUAAUUGCGAUGACAUGGUCCCAUUAGUGUGUGGUUAUUGUACCUUAAUUAUCCGGGCGUUACAACCACCCCCGCCAUCCACCUCGCCUCGCCGCUCUACAUCAUCUUCCACUACUCCAACCGCCUCCUUGAUGCCACUAUUGUCGCCGCCUUGCUUCGGGCUGUUCUUGGCGGUGCUACCGCUAAUUUCUUCGUUACCCAAUGCUAUACCCUCGUUUAUCGCUUCCAUGUUGCCUCUGCGCGUAUAGCAGAGAUCAUCCUCGCACAAUCCACACUUCGCUUCCGUGCAUACUCCUUCUCUUUCUUGAGAACCCUACCUCCGAUCCCUCCUUCUCCGCCCCACACUGCCACAUGCAUGCCGUUGGCUCACCUGCUCCAAAUUCCAGAGGAUCUGGGUCUUCACUUUGAAAGCGUAGCUUGGGCACAAUGUCGCUCGCUCGUCUCCUAGCGUCCACCAAACCAACCGCAUGGAUGCCGCAUGUAUGCGCGCGUCAUACAGUUCCCUUUCACCCUUGAUGCCACCACGAUGGGUCUCAUCCUAGCUUGCCUAUUCGGCGGCAUCCACCACCAAUUCAACGUCACAGACGACGGAGAUUCCUGCUUCUCCUCACUGUGGCCUCGCCUGGCAUUGCCAAGCUCAUCGCUUCCAUGGGUGACUUUCACAAGCUGGGCAUCCUGCUCCGCUUCCCUUGGCAUGCGCCUACGGGGCGUGCUUCAUGCUCAUCACCGGGGUCGGCCUCGCCGUCGUCUAUCGGGCCUUCGUUUUCCUCGCCGACGGCAGUCGAUCCUGCUCUGCUGCCACCUGCGUCCACAACUAUUGUUCUUUCGAAGGAGCGUCGUCAACGGCUUUUUCUACCGUAUGCUUAAUGUUCUCCGCUCCUGCCAGCUUACACCACAUGCAAAUUACACCCACCACACGCAUUUGUUUUGGAUCACCUUUCUACCAAUUAAUGUUAGACCUAAUGAACUACUAGUAGAAUCUGUCGUAAACCACUGCUUUUCAGUCAAACAAGAUUUUCUAGCAGUCAAAGUUCAUGAGCAUGUGUAUAAGUCUGGCGUCCUCUCCCGAUCAAUAAAAAUUCAAAUCCUCAACCUUGGGUCCGGGUUUCGGAUCUUCCUCUUUGACCAGCUCGAACAAGUCGUUGCUCACUGUAGUUGUUUUUUUCCAUCAUUACACUAAGUUUGCUUACCCUACAUUGCCCCCUCGAUCAGACUCCAUUCUUGGCCCUUUUGAGCGUCGGCAUCUCCAGGCCCGCACGACACUGCAGCCCACCUCGGUCGCACGCUUGCACCACGCCCCCCUACUGCGCAUGCACCGCUGGCCCAUCCCAUGCAUCAUGAUGGCGGUGCGGCGCCCCCUGCCCCACCAAAUCUAUCAAAAGAUCCGUACGCUGCUCCUGGUUCGGCGCAUGCGGAUGGAGCUGGCGCGAGCCCCCAGAACCCCCUCUCUAUCUCCCUCUAUCCGUGUUAAUUUUGGACGAGCUGCUUGCCCGCCCCACGUCUAAUCCGGGCACGUCUGCGCCACCCCCUGUCGCCCCACGCGCGUCCCCGGUGACCAUAUCUGCAGCGAAUCUCGCCUUGGGAACCGACGAACUGACGAGCCCACGCGCCUGCCCGUCGCCACAGUCCCCUCCCACCACCCACGACCAGCAUCUAGACCUCAUGAUCAAGCCUAAUCCCUCUGCCCAGCCUACGACGGCCGCUCGGUCACCACGCUCCUGCCCGUCGCCCCCUCGCUCCCUGUCACACGCAAUGGGCCCAGCCGCCCUGACGGCGGAUAUGUCACUCGUGUAGUCCAACCACAAACCGACGAGCCCGUACAGAGAUGCCCUUUUCUCCUCCCCCCUCGAUCACAGCCACCCGCACCCUCUCCCCCUCCUCUAUAUAACCCCUCGCCGUUUCCCCACUCCGCAUCGACGCUCUCACACUUCUCCUCCAACACAAAGAAAGCAGCGCUGCUUCCGCUGCCUAGCUCUAGAUCACCUCGUCGAAGCUUGCCGUGACCCAAUCCGCUGUGCCCGCUGCUGGAGGAAUGGCCACCGCAGCCGUGACUGCAGGUACAGGCGCAUCUGGCUCAUCUUCCCUCCCCUUCCUGACGCAUUCCAUUCUCAACCUAAUCCACCUCUUUGCACUCGCAGCAUGGACUCCGCCGGCUCCUCGUCGACGGUGGCUCGCGCAUCCCGCACACUCAUGAUCGGUGACGUCCCCAUCAUCCUCUCCGAACCAUUCCCCGCCCUCUGCAUCCCCUCACCUUUCAUCCUCCACGGUACCCCAGUCAGCUCCGCCCCUCCAGCCCCACCACCUCCCUCCCCACCACGAUCCUCUGCACCUCCACCCACACCUACCUCACUCACACCAGCUUUCAACCACACGCACUCUCCACCCUUCGACACACAGGAGCUGAGGGGCCAGCUCGCCGACAUUUUCCUCGCCUCACAGUACACCAGAACCUCGUCUCACGUCUGCGAGACAGACACUGAGGAGGAUCUGCCCCGUCCGGCCCAUGAGGCCGGGCUGCUGCCUCCCUAUGGAGACAUGCCACUAGUCGCAGUUCCUCCUUGUCUCGUCCACUCCCCGCGUCGUUUUGCUUUCGUCCACCUUCGCACACCAGUCCCCAACCCCACUCCCCUCACCGUCGAGCCAUCGAGCACACUUGCGGCAACCUUGCCUUUAUCAUCGGCGGCUCCUGGAGGGGGAUCGCCUGCCUCACCUUUCACACACCAGCUGCAUGCAAUGACGUGCUCAACCACAGCCCCAUCGAGUACGAGGGAAACUCUAUCACUAUUGAGCUGGUCGAGCACAUCGACCGCUCCAUUGCCAUAUAUACUGACCUCGCUGAGGUCGAAGUCUCAGAGUUUCCACAUGAGCUAUGGCAUGAGGAUGGCAUACGCUUCGCCCUCACUUUCCUUGGCGACGUGUGCGCCAUUGACGACUUCUGCCUCCACGGUAUUGACUACAUGUCGGUCCGUGCCCUCGUCCUUCUCCAAUCUGGCAAGCCAGCCCCUCCAGGCAUUGUCAUUCAGAUCCCACCCAUAAACGAGAUUAAGAUCGCCAAAGUUGUAGAGGUCUCCCGCUGGCACCACGGUGAUGGUGCCAACCCGUUCAGUGAUGGCUCCUCUGACGAUGACUCUGCUCCUCCCUCUCAGCGAGCCUCUCCGCGGCCGCUCUCCCCUGCUCACAUUGCUCCUGUCGUCUCCGUGAUUCGUGCGGGGUAGCGUGCCGACCCCACCUACGGUGGCACUAGGCCGGUCGCCCCCCAUGCCCCUUCUGAGCCUCAUGAAACCGACACAACCCAGUCAGCAGUGGCCUCACCUCUCACCCUCCAUGGUUCCCGGCGCCAGCCUCUCAUCAUCUCCGACGACGAUUCGGCCGCCUCGGAUGACAUGCAUGCACCGCUCCUGCAUGCCGCUUCAGACUCGCUGGACGUGGUGCAUAAACCCCCUUCCGACACCCAUGCCCCACCUGUCAUACGCCCGGUUGCCCAGGUGGGUGCCGUGGUGCCACCCACCCCGUGCACUAACCUGUCUGUCGCUCCUCUGGACGCCGGCCCGCUGGUUCAGUCCAGCGCCUCUGCGGUCCCCGCUCCUGCAGACGCACCUGCUGCGCCUCCUUCCUUCACUUUCACCACGGGCUAGUCCUCCCGUGCAGCUGGUAACCAAUCUACNNNNNNNNNNNNNNNNNNNNNNNNNNNNNNNNNNNNNNNNNNNNNNNNNNNNNNNNNNNNNNNNNNNNNNNNNNNNNNNNNNNNNNNNNNNNNNNNNNNNNNNNNNNNNNNNNNNNNNNNNNNNNNNNNNNNNNNNNNNNNNNNNNNNNNNNNNNNNNNNNNNNNNNNNNNNNNNNNNNNNNNNNNNNNNNNNNNNNNNNNNNNNNNNNNNNNNNNNNNNNNNNNNNNNNNNNNNNNNNNNNNNNNNNNNNNNNNNNNNNNNNNNNNNNNNNNNAGUGCAUCAUUCGCAAGGCGCGCCGCAAGUCUGAGCGCGAUCAGUCCGUCUCCAAGGAAAAGCUGCGGCGGAGUGCGCGGCUGGCUGGCAAGCAAGCCACCUACUCCCCCAUGCUUGCUAAAGCCGUCAAGGCCAAGGCUGCUCGCCUCUCCGUUGCGGAUGUCGACACGGCCAUUGGCCGUGCUAUCCAGGAGGCACGCCUCCACGAGCCCGACGCCCCUCCUGCCUCCUCCGAAGACCUUGCUGCCAUUGCUCUGCUCUGCGGUGCUAACGACGAGCAGCUGGAUGCCAUCCUUGGCUUCGAGGAUGCUGCCUCUGGUGAUGACGCCGCUCCAUGAUCAGUCGUCCUCGCCACCCUGGAGUUACGGCGCGACCUCUGCCUCACCUAGCCUUUCUGCAUGGCGCCGUUAGAUCGCUAUUCUUUUGGUUUUUGCUUCCUAUGUCGCAUGUUCCUAUGCUACUUUUGGCCUCACCUGUAGCCUUUGUGACUGUAUGCCAGAUGUACUCCGUUUCUGUCUGUUGGUGCUCGAUCGGUCUCAAUGAGUAAUGACGCCUUUUUAAUCUGCUCUUGGAAUGUACGAGGACUUGGUGAUAAUGAUAAGUGCUCUGACGUGCUUUUCCGAACUAAUCACAACAAAACCGCACAUUACGCUCUUGCAAGAAUCAAAAAUCGACUCUCUCUCCGAAAGUAAAGCAAAAUCCUUCCUACCACGUCAGGCCGACCAAGUUUUCUCCUUGCCAGCUAUCAGAACCGCGGGUGGCACCAUCUCGGCCGUCAACUCUGCAUCCUUCCAAGUCGUGUCCUUCUCCCACUUAACCUUCUCCUCUACACUAAUCCUCCAAUCAACUGCCUGCGCACACCACAUUGCCAUAACUAACAUCUACGCUCCCUCCUCGCGCCCUCUCAAGUUAGCGUUCUUAGACGAACUCGCCUCUAUCGCACAACCAGAUGACACCCCAUGGCUCAUCGCCGGUGACUUCAACCUUAUCCGUUUCCCCUCCGAGAAAAAUAACACCGCCUUCCACCCCGCCGAAGCCAACGCGUUCAACCAAACCUUAGAUAACCUAGCACUUAUCGAAUUACCUUUACGGGACUGCAGGUUCACUUGGUCCAAUAACCGUGCCUCUCCCACACUAGAACGGCUAGAUCGGGUCUUUUUUAACCUUGCAUGGGCAGAUACUUUCCCCAACACUUCCCUUUCCUCUCGAUCCCGCUUUACGUCCGAUCACGUUCCAUUCCUCAUCCACGUCACCACCUCCAUCCCUCGAUCCAGCUUUUUCAAAUUCGAAGCGGCCUGGGCCAACUCCCGGCCCUGCAAGGACAUUGUUGCUCAAAUUUGGGCUGCACAGCCCUCAUCGCCAAAUAAUGCCACUGCAUCCCUCGUCUCCGCGCUCAAAAAAUCUCGUGCACGUCUUAAGACUUGGGCACGUUCUCGUAUCCCCACCCACCUUCGCGAGGCUCGCUACCAAGCUGCUAUCACAGCCCUAGACCUCGUUGAAGAAACUAGACCCCUAACUCAGCCAGAGUCGCUCACUCGCAAAAUCAUCAUCUCCUUGCUCAAGAGUGUCAUCCACGAGAAAAUGGCAUACUGGCGCUGGCGUGCUAAAGUCUCUCGCGCUAUCCACGGAGGGGAAAAUACCAAGUUCUUUCACAUAUCGGCCUCUCAACGACUGCGUAAGAACAAAAUAUUCACCCUCACACAUGACGGAUCCGAAUACUUUGCGCAUCCCCAGAAAGCGGAAAUUCUCAGAGACUUCUUUGUCUCUCUAAUUGGCACCCCAGGCCUGACAACCUGGAACUUUGAUCUAGAAUCUAUAUACCCUCACACGGUGCCUGGACUCCACGCCCUCGAUGCACCCUUCUCCGAAGAUGAAAUUAAGCAUGCGUUUCUCACUAUGAACCCCCAAGCCAGCCCGGGUCCGGAUGGCUUUGGACCUACUUUUUAUAGAUCGUUCUGGCCAUUAGUCAAAAACCUCAUUCUACCUUUCUUCUCACAUUUCCACCAAGGUACUGCAGACGCAGAACGUCUAAACCGUGCCCACAUUGUCCUCCUCCCAAAGAAGGACGCGCCGACCUCCCCUGACGCCUUUAGACCCAUCUCGCUGCAAAAUUGCCCGAUCAAAGCUGUUGCAGAAGUUAUCACAUCUCGUCUUAAACCAUUCAUCCCUAUGCUAGUUCAUGGCAAUCAAACCGGCUUCAUUUCUGGUAGAAACAUCGCUGAAAACUUUGUCUUCGCAGCCGAUCUCGUUAGCUCUUGCCACUCUCGCAAAAAACCUACCAUGGUAUUCAAGUUAGACUUCCGAAAAGCUUUCGACUCUGUCGCAUGGCCUGCGCUACAAAAAAUUCUGGCUGUGCGGGGUUUCUCCUCCACCUUCUGCCGGUGGAUCCAGAACAUCCUCCUCACCGGCAAAACGACCAUUCUCCUGAAUGGGGCCGGUGGAUCCAGAACAUCCUCCUCACCGGCAAAACGACCAUUCUCCUGAACGGGGUUCCGGGCAAAUGGAUCCAAUGCAAAAAUGGGUUGAGGCAGGGCGACCCUGUUUCUCCCUAUCUCUUUCUUAUCGUCGCCGAUCUCCUUCAACAGCUCAUCCUCCAAAACUCAGACUCUGCACUCCACCAUCCCAUCUUCUCCCACCUGCCUCCCACUGUCCUCCAAUACGCCGAUGACACGCUCAUCGUUGCAGCCGCCUCCUCAGCAGCCGCCUCAACCCUCAAAAACAUUCUAAACACCUUUGCACUUGCCACCGGCCUCACCAUCAACUUUGCUAAGACUACCCUAGCCACCCUACACACCGACGAAACCACGUCUACUAACAUCGCCCUGGCCAUGGGAUGCUCUUGCGCCUCCUUCCCGCAAACUUAUCUAGGUCUCCCCCUCGCCCCCACCAGGCACCUCACUAAUAUCUUCAAUCCUUUGCUAAAACGAGCUAGGAAACUACUUUCUGGCUGGCGUGCCAAGCUUCUUGAUAAAGGUGAUCGGCUCAUCCUCAUCUCUUCUGUCCUAGACUCAAUCCUUGUUUAUUUCAUGUCUGUGUUCCGCAUCCCAAAGAAAACAAUCAAAACUCUGGACUCGCUGAGGAGAGCAUUUUUUGGGCAGGGGAGGACGCUUGCUCAGGUGCUCAAUGUCUUAUUGCAUGGAAAAAUGUUUGCUUACCAAAAAAAUACGGUGGUUUAGGGCUCAAAAACCUACAUGUGCAAAACAACUGCCUUCUCAUGAAAUUCACUGCCAAAGCCCUCUCCACUACACAAACCCCCUGGCUAGAAUGGCUAGAUCUCCAACACCCUAAUGCUCUAGUCUCCCCACCCCCGCAAACCUCCUUCCUUUGCCGCACAAUUUCACAACAGCUCGCCUCUCUCCAAAACAUAACCUUUGUGUUGACAAACAACGGCUCACACACCUACUUCUGGCUAGAUACCUGGUUGACUCCACAACCCUUGGCCACUGCCUUCCCCCACUUAUUCUCCCACUCCACUCUACAGCUGGUUAAAGUGGCUAACAUUUUGCAUUUCGGUAUUCAAGCUAACCUCCGUAACCGUCUCUCUCUUACGGCAGAACAAGAACUUGUCUCGCUUGUGGCUGUUUUGCAGGAUUUCAUGCCUUCGGCUGGGGAAGACCAACAGUUCCUUCGACACGGCAUUGCCUUCUCCACCAAACAUGCAUACGCCGCCCUCAUGGAGCAGCCAGAUCAUGAUCACCAUGCUCCGCUCAUUUGGUCCGCAAAGAUUCCUCGGAAGCUAAAAGUCUUCGCUUGGCUGCUCUUCAAAGACCGCCUCAACACCAGGUGCAACCUUGCACACAAACAUAUAAUCGACUCAGAUAUAUGCCCUCGGUGUGCGAGGCUGCCAGAAGACUCCAGCCACUUGUUCAUCUCAUGCCCCUCGCCAAUAGGAUCUGGCAACGUCUUGGCCUUCUGCCCCAGUCUGACGAUAUCACAGACCUCUGGGAUGUCGCUAUCCCUACUCACCUCCCCACCUCCGCAUGGCCUUCAGUCCUCUUGGCCCUGUUAUGGAUGAUCUGGUCUGCCCGCAACGACAUGGUGUUUAGGAUGAUUGAUCAAAGUUCUGUAAUAACCCUUAGAAACCUUAUUUCCGCUCUAGAUCUUUGGUCUCAUCAUCUUGUGCUUUCACAGGACAAGGAGGACGUCUUCUCGUGGCGUUCCUACCUUUCUGCAUGGUGCAACGUGUCUAUGUAAUGUUGUACUUACUGCCUCGGCAGUCCUUUGAGUAAUAUAUUCAGGUGGGGGAGCUCCCCCGGUGAUUUAAAAAAAAACCUUAUCCCAAACCGGAGAGUAGAUCGAGCGUGUUAUCAAAUUCCUAGCUCAGAUCGAUGCCCAACCUCUCCAACGCCCCCAACUCAUGCCGCCGGUGUGCUCACUCCGGCUGGUCGCCACAUCGCCUCUGUUGAUCGAUGCUCACAAAAAAAAGGCUCCAGCCACCGGUGUGAUCCACUCGGGUUGCUCGUCACAUCGCCGUCGGUGUGCUCCUCUGCUCGGCGCGCUCCAUGCCCGUGGGCAACGGCCGCGUUCGAUGGCGGCCCAGGUCACGGCAUCGUCGAAGCUGCUCACCGGCGUGCUCUGCGACGCCGAGCGCAAACUCUCCUGCUCGUGACCCUCUAUCCCCGCCGGCACCCACAAUGUUUUUCGGUGGCACAGCUCUCGCGACACCGCGCCACUGCCCUUGUUCCGCCGCAGUUCAUGGCGAUGGUCCUCGGCCACACUCACGGCGCCGCCGGCGUACUAUGCAGAACAAGUUCAUGUACAUUUUUUUUUUGUGAUUUGAGCUUUAAAAACUGAACAAAGGCAGCUCCUGUAUAUUUUUCUUCUGAAUUUUAUCUCGUAGGAGUACAAGAUGUGGCCUACGUUGUAAACGAAUUUGUGUGUGAAUGAAAGCUGUGACAGUACAAUGACAUUUUUAGUGUUGUGAACUUGUGACAUACAUUUCCAGUGAAUGAAAGAUGUGGCCUAUGUUGUAAAUGAAUUUGUCCACUCUUGGUAUAAACUAGCUUAUCCCCGCGCGUCGGCACGCCGCGCCUUGCCAGUAUGUCAUGUCGAAUUUUUCGCAUAUGGUCAUGCAAAAGUUUAUACCUGUUAAUUGGUUACUGAGUUGAUUUCUAAUUAUAUUUAUAUAGUAUGUUAAUUUGUUAAUCCAUUGUACUUAUUAAAUAUUAAGUGGGCAUGAAUAGCAAAAGUGUCACAGAAUUAAUAACUUUAUUGUAUGGAACACUGGAUACAUUUUGCACAAAGAGAGUGCAUUCUUUUUUUUUUGCAGGAAAAGAGAGUACAUUCUGAUACUGCAAAUUUAUGUUUCUACAAACGAUCUAUGAUUUCUUUGUACACUACAUUUUAGUCUCUCCAGUAGGGGAACCAUUUCCAUCCUCAAUUAGGAAUGUAAGACCGGCACGUGAAGUCACUCUUGACACGGCAACAUACAACUGAACAUGCGAUAAGACAAGUUCUGGCAGAUAAACACAAAUCUUUGACAGCAUCUGACCCUGACUCUUAUUAAUAGUCAUAGCAUAGCAUCCUGUCAAAGAAAAAAUAGUCAUAGCAUAGCAUAACCGAACAGGAAACUGGCAACGACGAAGUUUAAAUGGCCACUUGCACCCGGAAGAAUUAAGAACAAUCCAUGGGAUGCAAACUCGCUGCCCUUAAUUAGAGCCGGCAAUAGUUUCUCCCUCCACCACUCUUUCACCAAGACGUGUAAUGAUCAACAGCGUUCCAUUGCACAAACCAAAUGAUUGGUUGACAUUCCAAAGGAAUAUAACAGGAACACCAACCUUAAGCAGAAUUUUGUGCUGUGAGAAAUUGUUGAUUUUUAUCGAAUUCAAUAGCUCAGGAGGGUAAAACACCUCAACCUCAUCAAUAUGAUCGGUGGCCUUGAAUAUAGAAUCGCAACUAAGAUACUCUUUAGAUAUCCCCGAUCAAAGACAACUUCAUUGAGAUCAUCUACCGCAUUAUUGGUGGGCAUACAAUUGCACACUGAGAUAAAUAAUCACACCAUUGAAAUGAACGAAAAGAAAAAGACGAAUUAAGAACAUGAGAAUUUGAUGCCUUGAAAACUUAGUUCAAAUCACAAAAAGCAUGAUAAAUUACCGUUUCUUUCAAAGCAGGGCUUCCGGCGUUGUUAGUGCUUCAUAUCCUAAUCAGCACAAUUAUUUGUCAUAGUAAAUGUGCAAAGCAAGUUAAUGCUUCCGAAGAAGUAGCCACUUCUAAUCUAAGGUCUGAACAACCCAAAACAACUAAAAACCGUAGAAAAAAUGUGCCAACAAUUUUAAAAUCCUUAGAAAUCAUAACAAGUAAGGGAAUAUAAGUACUGUCAAGCAACGAACAAUUACCAUAUGCUGCCUGAUUAUACAUCAUGGGCUUGGUUUCAUUUUUAAUGAAAACUGAACCAUGGGCGGUGCCCCGCAAGAUCGUUUUUUUACAUCAUGAUUCUUUGGAAGGCCGGGCCAAUUGUUCUGUGCACUGGUGCCAUUGUCCUUCAAGAAACACUCUCUAACUUUCUUCCAUAUAGAUUGCAAUGCAAGGGAUCUAGCAGGCCAAUACCUACAUCAGCAGAUUAAACGUAGUAAUCUGAGCGCAAAGAGAACAUAUAAUUUCUCGUUUUCAACUUUCAUGACAUGCAAAAUGAUCAAGACACUCAUAAAGUCACAGUGUCCCUCUGCUCAAUCCAGUUCAGUGGCUCAAUUUUGAGAAAGGACAGAAAUACACCAUCAUACCUUCUGACAUCACUAAACAAAAUUGUAAAUAUGUCACUUUCGAAUUAUAUAGAAGGCAGACAACAUACAUCUCUAGCGCUGAAGUUCAUAAUAUUGCAGCUUAUGUUCAGGAACAAUGGGUUCAUCACUGAAGUAGAUCUUCCCACAAGAGAAAAUUAAUAGGAAGUAUCUUAAUAAACAUAUCUAAGAGCUCAUUCUUAUAAUUACGAAAUGCUCACAUGAAGAGAAACCAACCAUAAAAUAGGAAGUAUCAGGAUGCAGUGAAGCAAAAUAUAUCAAUCCCAAUGCCAGCGAAGCUUGCCUGGAAAAAUGUUGAUGUCUCUGGAUGUGCUUGCUCUACAAAAGAACCACUACCCACCUUCCUGAAGACUGUAGGAAAAAGAUUUAUAGUGAGUAUGCAUCAUCUAACCAAAAACCAAAAGAAGUAUAUGUAGUAAAUAAUGGGUGCACACGGAUGAUCCCAUCUGCUAUGGCAACAAAUCGACAAAAAAUCUAUUGAAAGAAAUAUCAGCAGAACAUUCUCUUCUACCACCAUAAUCAAAUAAAUAUUUUAUGGUGCCUUUUCAAUAUUUAGGCUGAAUGUAAUUUCUUUACAAACAAAAAACAAGUCAGUUAUCUUGAUUCAUAAGAAUCAGAACUAUUGAUAGGGACAAACAAAGCAUGAAUAUUUACAUUUGUUUUUCUCAUCACCCUGUUAAGCCAUUUCAUCAGGUAGGUAUACUAACCCGCACAUUCAUGGAAAAUGUUAAAAUCAAAUAGAAAAAAAGUGCUGGAACUUCUAGCCAUCUUACAUCUCUUCAUUUUGUUGGCCAAGUAUAUAGCAACAUACACAACGUAGCAAAAAUUGCAUUAAUAUGUGUUCUGCUCAUCCGAUUCAGGUUGAUCUUCCCUUCGCUUUUUUUCCUGGAUGAACACUAAUGUUCAGCCAAUGGUGUACCAAUUCUUUGAAGACUCACCAUGAUGCUACAAGAUCUAAAAAAUAAAAAUAAAGAGAGGGGGCUCAUCUUGCUGCUACGUCCUCAACGGUGAACAGAGGCGGCAAAGUGCCCCUGCUACCGUUUGACAGCGCCGCUGCCACUUUCUCGCACAAUCCGCCUCCACCACCGAUUCUUCCACCACCUAGCAGAAGUCGAUUGUGCGCCUCACAGAGGUUGCUGCUGUCCGCGGAAGUAGUCAAAUAACAGCCCAAGCUCCUCGCAGUCAACCGCACAGCGGGCAACAUCUCCUCCCCAUGCGCCUGCAUAACACACCAUCCAUGUAAACACCAGGACCAACAUGAAUCGACUCCAAUCCAAAUGGAUGAACGAACUGAGAAUUACACGGCGAAUUCAAGAGGAUCAGAACUACAUUGGGCAUCAGACCACGCGAUUUGGGAAUGCCUGGGACCGGCUUCUCCGUCGUCAUGUCGGCCAACAACGAAACGCAUCGGAGAUCACGGUCGGCAGCGGAUAUUCUAGGAAGCCUAUAGGGGUAAAUGUUGCAAAAAAUCUUAAAUAUCAAAAUAUUCAAAACACAAUCAACUUGGUUUCUCUUCCUACGCAUUAACACAAACACCUAAUAUGCACUGAAAAAGAGGAUUCAUCUUUUUGUACAGCCACAUUUCAAAUAGGAGGAUUUGAAUCAGCGACUCAUCUACUUGAACAAAAGUAGCACAUCAAAAAGUAAGAAUUGGAACAGAAAUAUGAGAGAGAGGGGGGGAGGGGGGAGGGAGCGAGAGAGAGAGGGAGAGAGGUGGAGGCGGCCGACGCGGGGCUGGCGAGGGAAGGCGGCGAGGUUGGUAGGGUGGACUGAGGGUGCUGGGGAUCGAAGGACGGCAAGGCUGGAGGAGGCAUCUGUGGCCGGCCGCUCGCUUCCGCCGCCAGCGGGUAGAGGUCGUGGCUGAGAAGGCGCGACGCUGCUGAGGGAGGUCAAGGGAGAGGGGUCGCGCUGCUCUGCCUGCUCCCGCUGUAUGCCGUCGCCGUCGCUGCCGCCACCGCCAUCAUCGUUGUGUUGUGGCCCGGGAGAGGCAGUCUGGGGCCCUCGGGACAGGCGAGGCGUGGGGAGCAUGGCCGUGGCGAGCGGGCUGCCGUGGGCAGCGGAGCACGUAGAUGGCGGAGGUGACCGCGCUGGUUGGUGUGUCUACGCACGACCGCAGAUAUGGACGGAGAGAGAGGAGAUGGGAGCAGAUGGA